GAGUCACCUAAUAAUGGGAACUUGCUGUGAAAUUUUUUAUAUCCAUUUUAGAGCUUUUGAAUAAAGGUCCAUGAUACCAGAAGUGAUAUCUAUGUUAGUAAGACAGCAAUAUGGUAUGAUAUGAUACCAUGCUAUAUCAUUUUGGUAUGUACUGACAAAAAGAGAUCAUAGGAGAGGGAUAAGAGAAGAGAGAGAGAGGUG
rnacentral:lncRNA from 1 species